ACAAAAUGGCGGCGGCGGCGCUAGGACCCCGCGGGCACCAAGGCGCGCGGGCGCUCGCGGGCCAGGCAGGAGGCGUACCCAAAAACCUUUGUCCCGCCUCCUUGGCCUUGCCUGCUUUUAUUGGAGAAGGGCGAUGUCAAUCUCGGGCCUCCGCCUAUCGCCAACGCUCGUCUCCUGACCCGCCCCCGGCGGCCGGGCGCCACUUCUUGGGAAGUUGACGGCUAGGAGCGCCGUUUGGAGCGCGGCGCUCCCGGGUUCUGUAGUAGCCCGGCCGCAGCCCCCCGGUGCCGUCGAGCUGGAAGUGGAGAGGCAGUGGUGCGAGCGGAGCCCGAAGCAGCAGCAGCAGUACCAGGAGGAGCGGUGGCCGCUCGACCCUUUGCCGCCGCCGAUGGAGGCGAGCCUGACGUGCGCCGUGUGCCUGUCGCUGUUGGAGGAGCCGGUGACGCUGCCGCUGUGCUCGCACAACUUCUGCCGGGGUUGCGUGCUGGAGUGCCUGGCCUCUGCCGAGGCCGCCCGCCUGCAGCAGCUGCAGCGGAACCCGGGGCAGGCCCGUCUCGGCCGCGGGGCGCCGGGGCCGGGCCCUGGCCCUGGCCCGUCCUGCUCCCGGGUGCCUUGCCCUCUGUGCAGGAAGCUGUGCCUGCUCCCCGCGCGGCGUGGNNNNNNNNNNNNNNNNNNNNGCUCCCCCGCGGCGGCGUGGCCGCCCUGCCCGUCAACACCACCCUGGCAGAAGUGGUCAAGCUCUACCGGUCCGGCGCGACGGGCGCCGCCGCGGCCGGAGAGGCGACGCUGGGGCCGAAGCCGGGAUCCGACCUGCUCUCCCUGCAGGCGUUCGGGGGAAGCUGCCAGAAACAUCCGAGCCGGCCGGUGCAGCUCUACUGCCGCAUGUGCCGGCAGGCGGGGUGCGGGCAGUGCGUCUCCGAGGAGCAUCAGGGCAUCUUCCACUCUGUCAACCUCAUAGACACGGUGUACCAGGAAGAAAAAUUGACCUUCUUUAGCACUCUGAAACAAAUGAGGAUAAUAAAUGAGAAGCUGGUGAAUGAGAUCUCAAAACGACCAAAUGAUGCAGAUAUGAUGCUGAAAAAUGACGUGGAGAUAAUUGAGCUGAAAUUUGGAGAAAUUUUUAAAACUCUAGAACUGAAAAAACAGCAAUUACUAGAAGAUGCUGAAAAUCAAAGAAGUAAAAAAGAGAAAGAAUUUCAGAUUUGGAAGAAAAUGAAAGAAACUCACAAGAAGACCAUUGAGAAUUUUUUGAAGGAUUGUGAAAAGCUUGUCCAUGAGUGUGAUCCUCAGUGUUUCCUGGAGGUUGCCUGUGGCUUGAAUACAAGAAUGAAAACUCAGCUUGAUGUGAUGAAUAUAGCAUCCAACUGGGAAAAACCACCAGUGUAUACGCCAAAGAAGAUAGAUAUCAAGUCUGUGGUUAAUGAAAUCUUAGCAUUGGAGUUAACACCUGUUGAUGCAGGCAUUGUUCAAGGGCUACCUUAUGAAGGAAGUGAGAGCUCAACUCUAUUUAAAGAUACCUUAAAGCAAUGGCAGGACCAGAAGAAUAUAUCCAACACAUUUUUUCCUGUAACAGGACAGGAUGAAGCAGACGGUAGCAGGAUCCCUACUCGCUUUAUGUCAAUAUCAGAAAUGUCAGCAUUUCAAAAUAUGAGCCAUGAGGAGCUACGUUACAAAUACUAUAUGGAACUUCAGAAGCUCACCAAGGUGUUUAAGACUCAAAAUUUCCCUGCAAACAAAAAGUAUAAAUUUGUAACUGCUGAGGCCUCCAAGGAUAAGUCCUCAGGAACAACUUCUGUAUCUUCACCUAUCAAAGCAAAUAAGACAGAUAAAAUAAAAAUGGGAGCCCUGCAAAGAGGAGGUGGCUUUGACAAAAGAAACUCUUCUGGAAGCAGUGCUCACAGCAUCCCAUCCACAAGCAGGAUCUUUUCUGAAACUAAUGGUGGCUUAAAAUUAUUUCAUGAGGGAAGUGGCCAGGAAGUAUCCAGUCCAGCCUUGUCAGAAGCCUCUCCAGACUUGUUAAUUAAAGAAAAAUGGCCAAGACAGGCAUCAGCAGGUGCUGUUUCCAAGGAAAUGAAUUCAAAUUCUGGCACUUUAUUGGACUUAAAGCCAGCAGCAACAGUGGCUGUUACUGUUCCAACUUCAGAAUCUGUAGAUGUUUCAGCAGAGAGACCUUCAGGUGUACCUUUUACUUUCAGUGCAUCUAGCAACUCAUUACCAAGAUUUAGUAAAGAGAGAGGUACAUUUUCCUUUAAAAAGCAAGACAAGAGAUGUACUUUCCCUCAGUUUUAUUUAGGGAGAGGUGAUACAGGGGAUAAAACCAAUAACCAGGAUAAAUAUGGUCCUGAAGCCAAAAACAUAGUUUGUGAUGCUCCAACAAGUCCUAAUUUAGUCUCACCAGAAAGUGAGAAAACACACAUUUUGUUUCCCUUUGGCAAUUCAGAAAGAGAUUGGUUUGCUGGAUCAGAAGCUAGCAAUUCAUGUAAGGUGUUACCAUCAUCCUCAUUUUUCAGCCAAUCUGAGAAGGCAUCUGACAAAAAACCAUUAUCUCACAUGAGGGGAAAAGCACCUUGUGCAAAGGAGCCUGGAGGAUGUGGUACACAAAAACCAUCUGUCUUAGGGGAGCAAAAACCUCACACCUCAGAAUCCAGCACAUCUCUAGCUUGCACUACUUCAGACACCAACACUGGAGCUGGGGUGAAUGAUGUCUCCAAGACCCCUCUUAUCACCAAUAAUUGUGUAUUUCCUUUCAAAAGUAACUUUCCAUUGCCUUCACCAGUAUUUUCAUUUGGAGGCAUUCUCAGAAAUACCUCUGAUUUGCUGACUUCUUCCAUGUUUUUUUCUGGGAACAGAACAGAAAAAAUGGAUAAGGAGAUGAAAUCUCCUGACAAAACACUUCUAAAUCUAGGGAAGCCUGUAACUUCAGAGUGUGCAGAGUCUGCUUCUCUUCAGGGUCAUCCAAAAUGUGAAGCCUCAAAUUUGCCUAUGAACUCAUCUGAAAACACUGAAAGUGCAGAAAGGCUUGGUGAUGGUAACACUCCUUGUCAGCCUUUGUGUUCAGGAGUCCUUCCUGUUGAAUGUGAGGAUGCAUCUUCCACUCAACUCACUGCAGCAACACAACAACAAAAAAAGGUAAAAGAUGAAGAAACUGUUGCUGAAAACAAUUUUUUGUGUCCUAGAAGGGAGGAUGAACCUGAGCCUGUACAGUUCCAGAACACAGCUUGUUCUGUUCCUGGCACGUGCAAUGAUGCAUCUUUAGGAGGUUCUGUGCUUGCAGUAGAUGAGACAGGAGGAAUGCUAAAAGACAGCACUUCUGACACUUAAGAGCGAAGUCAAACAUCUGUCUCUACUGAUACCGGCCAUGCAUCAGAAUAUUUUUCUGUUGCUGAAGACAAAAUGUCAGGUAGAACAAAAUCAGAUGUGAAGAGAGACUGAAAAGGAAAAAAAGCUGGAAUGAAAUAAAUGCUACUUAACACAUUAAAAGGUGGGGAUA
ensembl:lncRNA